rnacentral:rRNA from 1 species
CAACCUGCCUGUAAGACUGGGAUAACAUCGAGAAAUCCGGUGCUAAUACCGGAUACUAAAAAGAACUGCAUGGUUCUUUUUUGAAAGAUGGUUUCGGCUAUCACUUACAGAUGGGCCCGCGGCGCAUUAGCUAGUUGGUGAGGUAACGGCUCACCAAGGCGACGAUGCGUAGCCGACCUGAGAGGGUGAUCGGCCACACUGGGACUGAGACACGGCCCAGACUCCUACGGGAGGCAGCCAGUAGGGAAUCUUCCGCAAUGGACGAAAGUCCUGACGGAGCAACGCCCGCGUGAGUGAUGAAGGUUUUCGGAUCGUAAAACUUUCGUUGUUAGGGAAGAACAAGUGCCGUUCGAAAGGGCGGCACCUUGACGGUACCUAACGAGAAAGCCACGGCUAACUACGUG